rnacentral:lncRNA from 1 species
GCUGCCCCGCCGGUCGGGAGAGGGGGUGGGGAGGCGGCGAGGAAAAGUAAAGUGACAGCUGGGUCCCGCGCGCAGACUGGGCUCUGACGGGGGCAAGAGAAAGAGGCCCACUGCAAUAUGCUGUGAAGAAUACAUAAGAAGUCAAACUGUUGACCUCUUUUCCCCAGCCCGUUCCAAAACUACAUCCCUGAGGAGUUGUGCACCUCUACGGAAAGUUCAGAUGAAAGAGCUAAUUCCCCUUGAUCUCUCUUCUUGUUCAGAGUGGAGGAAAAACAUAUACCAUCCCUUCCAUCAAUCCUCAGCAUAACUUUGCCAGGGACACUGGUAACAAGCUACUUUUACCUCAGAAGUUGGAGAGUAUCACUUGACCCACAUUGUGUAUGUGUAAAUAUCUUUAUUCAGUGUAUAUACAAUAUAUUCUUAAUUUGACUCUCAAAGUUUAUAAUUAGCAUUGAAUGAGUAUGAAACAUUGUUUUCCAAAUACUGUCAGCAAGCUAUUGAAUAUGUUGUUCCUGAUUUAUGAAUGAGAUUUUCAUCAGCAGAAACUUAUGACAAAUGACCAAUUACAUUGUCACUGCUAAGUUCCAAGAGCAUUUCUUUCAGUUAUGCUAUUUAGAGUAUAAACAUCAUACUGAAUUAUUAUUAAACUCCACUCAAAAUUUUUAAUUAAGCCAUCCACAUCAUCUAAGUCUUUUCC